rnacentral:lncRNA from 1 species
ACCCCCAAAAAAAUAGUUGGUGUUUGUCAGCUAGUUGGCUAACAUUAGUUCGAGGCUUGACAGAAAGAUUAGCCAACAUAUUAAUGUCCUAUUUGAUGCACUAGAGCUAUUUUUUUAGCUAGCCAACAAAUGGCUCUUAGUAUAAAACAGGCGCUUCGUUUGUGCAGCUUUGAAACACGUCUUCUGUGCCAAGGACAGUAUACAUUGUUCUAAGACUUUCCAAAUUCUUUCUACACGAUUGGAUGUAAAAGACAGAGGACCAUAGAAAGCGUGUACCAUCCUUCAAUCGACCGAACUAGCUGUUGAACAAUUAGACAAAUUCCAGUUUAAAUUCCGAAUAUAAAUCAUGACAAAAUCACAAGCACUGAAAUAACAAGCCAAAUCAGAUGAUGCGUACUGAUUAGACUUACUGAUAGAUGGCACGCGCCGGAAUCAGCAGGGUCGACGAUGUCGAAGUAGCGAAAUCAGCAGGGUCGACGAGGUCAAUCAGAUCACGAGCAGUCGCGUGAAGACGCUUCCCAAAAACCUUAUUCGGCCUCUCCUGGUGCAGGAUCUAGAAGGCGAAGGGUUCCGGAGACCUGCUCUCCUAAUCGCAGAUGCACCUCUACAAUCGGGACGAAGAGAACUGGAAGGCGGCUCAGCUGUGAAGAGAGGCGAAAGCGAAUUGGGAUAAUUUGGAGGCUGGCUGCCGGGCUCCUUUUAUAGGGCCGAGUCCGCGACCCCCCGUGCUUAUCCGCCACGAAAAUCUCGCAAUCAGUUGAGAUUUUAUAGCGAUCGGUUAGGAUAAGCGUAACAGCCAAGAAACCAAAAAAUCAAACGGCAAAAGGUAGCCGCGCCCCCGCAAGGCGAGGGGCCGGAUUUCGGCGGACCAUUCACGCGCAUGUCGUGCGCCCGCGCCCUUCGCCCCGCCCCGCCCCGGCCAGGCCAGGCCAGGCCAGGCGAGGCGAGGCGAGCGAGCGCGUGUGGCUCUCCACACUCUCUCCUCUCAUCCAUGACUUGGUGAGUGAGUGUGACUUCCAUAUUUAAGCUAGCUCUACUCCACUAGAGCUAGCAAUAUGGUGCUAAUGGUUCCACCUAUCCUCUAGCCAUCCCCUUGUAUGGGCUUUUGAGAUUUUCUGGGAUUUAUUUGAAUUUAUUAAUUGGGCCAAGCCCAUAAAUCCUAACAAUCCCCCACCAGAUCUCAAAUGCCCAUCUGCAGUUUUCGCCACUGUUCACUACUGUUUAAUAUACUAGUUUUUCAGCAGAGACUGUUAAGUUGAACUUCCGCCUAGAACUCCAAGCUACACCAACCCACAACUUGGACAAUGGACUAUGCCUUGAAUUGCAAGUUUUGCGUGAAUGGGUUUCACUUGAAGUCAUGACCAAUACUUGGCUACCAGUAGUCCCCUUCUCGGGUAGAGCAUAUACGUCGUACUCCAAGGUCUCUUCAUGAGUUUACUAGAGAUCACCCAAAUCUCAUAGACUGCGACGUUAGACAGUCUAACUCAUAUAGGUGUGUUCUUUCAAAGAAUGUUCUGCAGGACAACAUCUUCGCUAAUACAAGCCAACAGAACACAUUAAGGCACAAAGCCAACCUGCCUUACAGCAUUUGAGAGUAUUACAUCUUUACUUAGAGAGGGUCAAAGGUUACUCUCCUCAGUUCACCAAUGGCUUGUUCUUCCCAGGACCUAAUUCACGGGAUCUCCGAUCACAUAGACUGGGUUUCCACCAUGGCAACUUUAUUCGGGUCUCAUACCCAUCUCUCUCGAUGCGAUUUCUAUCACAUUACGUGGUAGUCCCUUGGUAAAAGGAUCUGCCAGAUUUUUAUCUGUUGAAAUAUAAGUCACACUUAUAACUCCGGAGUUUCUCAACUUUCUGACAGACUUCAAUCGUCUUUUGACAUGUCUUGAUGACUUUCCAUUAUCCUUAGAACUCGUCACUUUAGCAAUCACUGUCUGAUUGUCACAGUUCAUAAGGAUAGCUGGUAUUGGUUUCUCAACCACUGGCAAGUCCAUCAAGAGUUCACGCAACCAUUCUGCCUCAACGGUUGCUGUGUCAAGUGCAGCUAGCUCGGCUUCCAUGGUUGACCUCGUCAAAAUGGUCUGCUUGCAUGACCUCCAUGAUACCGCACCUCCACCAAUAGUAAAGACAUAACCACUGGUGGCAUAAAGCUCGUCUGCAUCAGAUAUCCAGUUCGAAUCACUAUAUCCUUCAAGUACUGCAUGCUGACCAGAAUAGUGAAUUCCAUAACUCAUUGUACCUUGCAGGUAGCGCAUAACCCGCUCAAGAGCAUGCCAAUGAUCAGUCCCGGGGUUUGACAUGAACCUACUCAAUUUGCUCACAGCAAACGAGAUAUCGGGCCUUGUUGCACCAGCAAGAUACAUGAGUGAACCGACAAUCUGAGAGUAUCUCAAUUGGUCUAAACCAAUUCUCUUGUUCUUUCGCAGUGUCACACUGGGAUCAUAAGGUGUUGGAGAAGGUUUGCACUCAGAGAAGCCAAAUCGCUUCAAAACCUUUUCAACAUAGUGAGAUUGCGAGAGAGUAAUCCCACCAUCUGCCUUAAUCAGCUUGAUGUUUAGAAUCACAUCAGCUUCUCCCAGAUCUUUCAUAUCAAAACUCUUUGAUAGAAAAGACUUGACUUCAUUGAUCACAUCAAUGUUUGUGCCAAAUAUCAAUAUAUCAUCAACAUAUAAGCACAAUAUAACUCCUUCGCCCCCACCACAGCGAUAAUAUACACACCUGUCUGCCUCAUUAAUGGCAAAGCCUGCAGACGUUAGAGUAGUGUCAAACUUCUCAUGCCACUGCUUUGGUGCUUGCUUCAGACCAUACAAAGAUUUCAAUAGCUUGCACACCUUGCUUUCUUGACCCUUUACUACAAAUCCAUCAGGCUGUUCCAUAUAGAUUUCCUCGUCCAGCUCUCCAUUAAGAAAAGCUGUCUUUACAUCCAUCUGAUGAACAAGGAGACCAUACGAGGCAGCCAAAGAAAGUAGUACUCGAAUAGUGGUCAUUCUAGCAACAGGUGAGUAAGUAUCAAAGAAGUCUUCUCCUUCUUUCUGAGUAUAGCCUUUAGCCACAAGCCUAGCCUUGUACUUUUCAAUUGUACCACCAGGCUUGAGCUUCUUUUUAAACACCCACUUACAACCCACAGGUUUGCAUCCAUAGGGUCGAUCAGUGACUUCCCACGUACCAUUUGAAAGAAUAGAGUCCAUCUCAUUAUGAACUGCUUCUUUCCAAUCAUCUGCAUCUGAAGAUGCAAAUGCUUCUGCAAUGGUAGUAGGAGUAUCGUCCACAAGGUACACAAUGAAAUCAUCACCAAAGGAUUUUUCAACCCUUUGUCUCUUGCUCCUUUUAGGAGCAUCAUUGUCAUCCUCCUCUAGGACAAUUUCAUGUGGCUGUUCAAAACUCUCAAUAGGUGUACUAUGUUCAGGAGUUAUCUCAGAAGAGUAUCUAGAAUUGCUAUGAAUGUCUUUCAUUGGAAAUAUAUGUUCAAAGAAAGUAGCAUCACGUGAUUCCAUAAUAGUAUCAACAAAUACAUCAGGAACUUCAGAUUUAACUACUAAAAAUCUAUAUGCUAUGCUACACGAAGCAUAUCCAAGAAAGACACAAUCCACUGUCCUUGGACCAAGCUUGCGCUUUUUAUUAAUUGGUACAUUGACUUUCGCCAUGCACCCCCAAGUGCGCAAGUAUGAAAGUGAUGGUUUUUUCCCAACCCACUUCUCAUAAGGGGUUUUCUCUUCUUUGCCCAUAGGAAUUCUAUUCAGAACAUGACAUGAAGUCAGGACUGCCUCCCCCCACCAUGCCUUAGAUAAACCACAAGUGUCUAACAUGGCAUUCACCAGGUCAGUCAACGUACGGUUUUUCCUUUCAGCAAUCCCGUUUGACUCGGGUGAAUAGGGAGGAGUCCUCUCAUGAAUAAUGCCAUGUUCUGCACAGAAAUCGUCAAAGACUUUGGGAAAGAACUCGCCACCACGAUCUGAUCUAAGACGUUUGAUCUUUCUCUCUAGUUGGUUUUCAACUUCAGCCUUGUAGAUUUUAAAGUAGUCUAAAGCCUCAUCUUUAGUUUUUAGCAAGUAUACAUAGCAAAAUCUAGACGCAUCAUCAAUCAAUGUCAUGAAGUAUCUCUUACCACCCUUUGUCAACACACCAUUCAUCUCACAAAGAUCAGAAUGUAUGAGUUCUAGCGGUGCCAGGUGUCUCUCCUUAGCAGCCUUAUGAGGCUUUCGAGGUUGCUUCGACUGCACACAACUAUGGCACUUAGAACCUUUGACUAUGGUGAUAUUCGGAAUUAAACUCAUGGUUGCAAGCCGAGACAUAGAGCCAAAAUUAAUAUGACACAAACGAGAAUGCCAAAUACUCGCAAGAUCAUCAACAUUAGCACAAAUAUGGUUCACAGACUUAUUAUUGAAAUCUAACAAAGAAAAGCGGAACAAGCCUCCGCAAUCAUAGCCUUUACCAAUAAAUUGUCCAGACUUGGACACAACUAAUUUAUUGGACUCCAAAACUACCUUGAACCCAUCUCUACAUAGAAGGGUUCCGCUAACGAGAUUCUUGUGUAUAGAAGGGACAUGAUGCACGUUCUUCAGCUGCACGAUCUUUCCCGAAGUAAACUUCAGAUCCACCGUGCCAGUGCCAUGAACAGAAGCAUGUGACCCAUUCCCCAUUAGCACGGAAGAAUCCCGGGCGCCCUGAUAAGAAGAGAACAAGUUAAUGUCAGAACACACAUGAACAUUAGCACCAGUAUCAAGCCACCAGCUAGGUGAUUGAAAUACUGAGAAGAUAAAAGGUAAAUUACCAUACCCUUUGUCUUCCUCAUUGCUAGCGACCACUGUGUUGACAUUGCCCUUUUUGCCACGGCGAUCCGCUCGAUCAGGACAAUCCUUGGCAAAAUGACCCGCCUCGCCACAUGCGAAACAUGUCAAUUCAGCCUUGUUCUUCUUCUUCUUGAAGUUGGUAGUUUUGUUGGGCUUGUUAGAUUUUGGCUUUCCUUUGCCCUUGUUGUGGUUCUUCUGAACCAUGUUGGCGCUGGAGUGGCCCUCGCCUCCUUUAGAUCCUGUGUCCUUUGCCCGAGCUUUCUCCUCAACAUCCAGAGACGCUAUCAGAUUUUCAACUGAUAUCUCCUGUCUCUUAUGUUUCAGAGCUGUGGCGAAGUUCCUCCAUGUAGAAGGCAACUUUGCAAUAAUGCACCCAGCCACAAAUCGGUCAGGAAGGACUAUCUUAAGGUGGUCGAGCUCCUUGGCUAUACACUGUAUUUCAUGAGCUUGCUCUACAAUAGAGCGAUUAUCAACCAUCUUAUAAUCAUGAAAGCUCUCCAUGAUAUACAGGUCACUGCCAGCAUCUGAUGCACCAUACUUAGUAGUAAGUGCAUCCCACAACUCUUUCCCGUCUGUGUACUGCAUAUUUGCAUCAACCAGACGGUCAACAAGGGCGCUAAGAACGGCUCCCGUGAACAUAGUAUUGGCAUGGUCGUACUCUUUCUCCCGUUCAGGAGUCAGUGGACCCUCAGGUCUGCCUUUACUAACAUGGAAGACAUUCAUAGCAGUAAGCCAGAGCGUGGCCUUGACUUGCCAUCUUUUAAAGUGCAUACCAUUAAACUUUUCUAGCUUCAGCGCGUCGGCAAAAGCAGCCAUAGAAAAACUAGGAAAUUGUCUACAAUAAGGUUUUUGGAUUGUUGAACAAUUAGACAAAUUCCAGUUUAAAUUCCGAAUAUAAAUCAUGACAAAAUCACAAGCACUGAAAUAACAAGCCAAAUCAGAUGAUGCGUACUGAUUAGACUUACUGAUAGAUGGCACGCGCCGGAAUCAGCAGGGUCGACGAUGUCGAAGUAGCGAAAUCAGCAGGGUCGACGAGGUCAAUCAGAUCACGAGCAGUCGCGUGAAGACGCUUCCCAAAAACCUUAUUCGGCCUCUCCUGGUGCAGGAUCUAGAAGGCGAAGGGUUCCGGAGACCUGCUCUCCUAAUCGCAGAUGCACCUCUACAAUCGGGACGAAGAGAACUGGAAGGCGGCUCAGGGCGACCCCCCGUGCUUAUCCGCCACGAAAAUCUCGCAGUAGCCGCGCCCCCGCAAGGCGAGGGGCCGGAUUUCGGCGGACCAUUCACGCGCAUGUCGUGCGUCCGCGCCCUUCGCCCCGCCCCGCCCCGCCCCGGCCAGGCGAGCGCGCGCGCGUGGCUCUCCACACUCUCUCCUCUCAUCCAUGACUUGGUGAGUGAGUGUGACUUUCAUAUUUAAGCUAGCUCUACUCCACUAGAGCUAGCAAUAUGGUGCUAAUGGUUCCACCUAUCCUCUAGCCAUCCCCUUGUAUGGGCUUUUGAGAUUUUCUGGGAUUUAUUUGAAUUUAUUAAUUGGGCCAAGCCCAUAAAUCCUAACACUAGCGAACAUGAAUAUCUCCAGCAUCUUAAGUAUGAUAACGAUUUGCUUUCGUCAACGCUAUGACUAAGGCCCGUUUUGGUCAGACAUGACGUUCUCAUGGGUUAAUGACUCGAUCAGCAACCAAAGACAGCGUGUUCGUCAAUUUAUCUCUAACCUUUACUAGCUCGUAACAAUGCAGCUGAGUCGAAAACAAGGAGGGGAAUACAUGAAAGUCCACAAAAAAAUUUAAGACGAGCAAUAUAUAAAUCGAACACCUAAAUGUAGCGGUGAAGAAACGGGAGCCAGAGUUUGACUAAUUCAUCGAGUUCUCGGCAACAACGGGGGACCGAAGCAAUCGGUCCGAGGCAAGAAGGAGAGAGAGAGAGAGACUCCGGCGGGCGGGUGGAUGGAGCAUGC